AUUGAACGCUGGCGGCAGGCCUAACACAUGCAAGUCGAACGAGUGGCGGACGGGUGAGUAAUGUCUGGGAAACUGCCUGAUGGAGGGGGAUAACUACUGGAAACGGUAGCUAAUACCGCAUACCAUCAGAUGUUCCCAGAUGGGAUUAGCGAGUGGGUGGGGUAACGGCUCACCAAGGCGACGAUCCCUAGCUGGUCUGAGAGGAUGACCAGCCACACGGUAAUUGGUACACGGUCCAGACUCCUACUGCAGGCAGGAGGUGGGACUAUUGCACAAUGGGCGCAAGCCUGAUGCAGCCAUGCCGCGUGUAUGAAGAAGGCCUUCCGGUUGUAAAGUACUGUCAGCGGGGAGGCGUUACCCGCAGAAGAAGCACCGGCUAAUUCCGUGCCAGCAGCCGCGUUAAUUC
rnacentral:rRNA from 1 species